rnacentral:rRNA from 1 species
GACGAACGCUGGCGGCGUGCUUAACACAUGCGAGUCGAACGAUGACGCCCGAGCUUGCUCGGUCUGAUUAGUGGCGAACGGGUGAGUAACACGUGAGCAACCUGCCCUUCACUCUGGGAUAACCUCGGGAAAUCGGGGCUAAUACCGGAUAUGAGCUCCUGUCGCAUGGCGGGUGUUGGAAAGUUUUUCGGUGAAGGAUGGGCUCGCGGCCUAUCAGUUUGUUGGUGAGGUAGUGGCUCACCAAGGCGAUGACGGGUAGCCGGCCUGAGGGGGCGACCGGCCACACUGGGACUGAGACACGGCCCAGACUCCUACGGGAGGCAGCAGUGGGGAAUAUUGCACAAUGGGCGAAAGCCUGAUGCAGCGACGCCGCGUGAGGGAUGACGGCCUUCGGGUUGUAAACCUCUUUCAGCAGGGAAGAAGCGAAAGUGACGGUACCUGCAGAAGAAGCGCCGGCUAACUACGUG